rnacentral:misc_RNA from 1 species
GGACGAAGUGUUUUGACAUUGCCAAGUUGAGUGCUAUACCAAUAGAUUGCUACAGAAAUGGGCAGGGGAAAGUGCUUGAACAAAACUAUGCUUCAGAAACUACUCACCUCAAUCCGCCUCAUCGAUUUGUUCCAUGGGUCAUUGUUGAUAAUCACCCUCUCCAGGAGGACUACCAAAACUUCAUGGCCUACAUUUGCAAAGCUUACAAAGGCGGUGCCGCACCAGAAGCUUGCAAGUCUAUACAACUCAAUGACCGCCAAUACCUGGAAAAUGCCAAUGGAGAAAGUCAAGUCUGUUAUGCAACUACAAGGAGAAACUCAACAUUUUAAAUGCGGGCAAGGAGAGAUCUCAAGAUCAAACCAGCCAGAAGAGUAGAUACUAGAGUCAAUGGAGAAGUUUCUC